UUUUUAGAGUUUUGUACCUGGCUCAGGACGAACGCUGGCGGCAUGCCUAAUACAUGCAAGUCGAGCGAACAGAUGAAGUGCUUGCACUUCUGACGUUAGCGGCGAACGGGUGAGUAACACGUAAGGAAUCUACCUAUAAGCGGGGGAUAACAUUCGGAAACGGGUGCUAAUACCGCAUAAUAUCUUCUUCCGCAUGGAAGAAGAUUGAAAGACGGCUCUGCUGUCACUUAUAGAUGACCUUGCGGUGCAUUAGUUAGUUGGUGGGGUAAUGGCCUACCAAGACGAUGAUGCAUAGCCGACCUGAGAGGGUGAUCGGCCACAUUGGGACUGAGACACGGCCCAAACUCCUACGGGAGGCAGCAGUAGGGAAUCUUCCGCAAUGGGCGAAAGCCUGACGGAGCAAUGCCGCGUGAGUGAAGAAGGCCUUCGGGUCGUAAAACUCUGUUAUAAGAGAAGAACAAAUUGUAGAGUAACUGCUACAGUCUUGACGGUAUCUUAUCAGAAAGCCACGGCUAACUACGUGCCAGCAGCCGCGGUAAUACGUAGGUGGCAAGCGUUGUCCGGAUUUAUUGGGCGUAAAGGGAGCGCAGGUGGUUUCUUAAGUCUGAUGUGAAAGCCCACGGCUUAACCGUGGAGGGUCAUUGGAAACUGGGAAACUGAGUACAGAAGAGAAUGAUCUAC
rnacentral:rRNA from 1 species